UACGGGGGGGGGUAAGCGUUGUUUGGAAUUACUGGGCGUAAAGGGCUCGUAGGCGGCCAACUAAGUCGGACGUGAAAUCCCUCAGCUUAACUGGGGAACUGCGUCCGAUACUGGAUGGCUUGGAUUUGGGAGAGGGAUGCGGAAUUCCAGGUGUAGCGGUGAAAUGCGUAGAUAUCUGGAGGAACACCGGUGGCGAAGGCGGCAUCCUGGACCAAUAUUGACGCUGAGGAGCGAAAGCCAGGGGAGCAAACGGG
rnacentral:rRNA from 1 species